rnacentral:rRNA from 1 species
GAUGAACGCUGGCGGCGUGCCUAAUACAUGCAAGUCGAGCGAACAGACGAGGAGCUUGCUCCUCUGACGUUAGCGGCGGACGGGUGAGUAACACGUGGAUAACCUACCUAUAAGACUGGGAUAACUUCGGGAAACCGGAGCUAAUACCGGAUAAUAUAUUGAACCGCAUGGUUCAAUAGUGAAAGACGGUUUUGCUGUCACUUAUAGAUGUAUCCGCGCCGCAUUAGCUAGUUGGUAAGGUAACGGCUUACCAAGGCAACGAUGCGUAGCCGACCUGAGAGGGUGAUCGGCCACACUGGAACUGAGACACGGUCCAGACUCCUACGGGAGGCAGCAGUAGGGAAUCUUCCGCAAUGGGCGAAAGCCUGACGGAGCCACGCCGCGUGAGUGAUGAAGGUCUUCGGAUCGUAAAACUCUGUUAUUAGGGAAGAACAAAUGUGUAAGUAACUAUGCACGUCUUGACGGUACCUAAUCAGAAAGCCACGGCUAACUACGUG